AUAUAGACAGAAGUUGUAAUAACCGAAUUAAUACUUUUUGAAAUAAAAGAAGCCUCAUUCGAGUACACUGAAUUAGAUACCACCUCGAGCUGCCAUGCAAAAAAAAAGAAACAACUCAACGGUUUAACUUCAAAUAUCAUGAGACUUGGCAAUGUUUUCAACAGAUUAUGAAUGCAUUCAGGCUGAAGCGCACGAGAAUCAAAUUAUACGGCAGAUUCAAAAUUAUCAGUUUGUUCGGGAACGCCGGGCGUAGUCGUUUUAUCGUAUAUUAUGUAAUUUAAAAUAUCAGCCAAAGAUAAAAUACCUUCGAGCUUCAAGUUUUCAUCAACCACGAAAAGACGAUGAACCCUGGAAUGCUUAAUAGCAUCAAAAAUACCAUCCAAACGAUCAGUAGCUCGACAAGUGUGGACGCC